CAAAGAUUAAGCCAUGCAUGUGACUUCUGGCGAUC
rnacentral:rRNA from 1 species